UUGUCAAUGGCUUAAUUUGUUAAAAUGGAAAAAAAAAACUAUGCGUUUUGUUUUUUGUUUUUUGUUUUUUUGGAGACAGGUAGCAUGCUAUCCGCUUCGUUUAUUUCAUUUGGAAAUAAAUUUAGCUGGAAAUGUGAAUCAACUAGGAUUCGAACUUGGGAUCUCGGGUACCAAAAUUAUGCGUUAUGUUAGUUUCACUUUUUGACUGCAAAACAUAAUUUGUGAAAAUAUUGAUGUAUAACCUAAUUUAAUUAACUAAAUACUAAUAUAAAGUUAAUCAAAAAUGACGUAGCAGCGCCAUAAUUGGUGAUGUGCCAAUAAUUAAGAUACUGCAUCAGCUCAUAUUAGUAAUGUGUCAAUAUUUACGCAGCUAAAUUAAGUCGUGAGACUUAAUUACAACAAUUUUAAAUGUUUGAGCCAGAAAUUAUUAUAAAUUAAAGUUUGAGAAUUAAAGUGUCACUCAUCUCAUUUAAGUAACCAUUUCGAAGAUUAUAAUUUACUAUUAAAAUUUUAUAGACUAAGC
rnacentral:lncRNA from 1 species